rnacentral:lncRNA from 1 species
GGAAACAUUCAUCCGCCGAAAGCUGAAGUCCCUCGGCAUUCAAGUAAACGCUUCACCAAGGACGGCCCAACGACAGCUCGUCGGUCGCUACAGACACUACAAUCACUGAGUAACGGCACUCGGGCAUCCCACCCGCACUCGUACGGCAGCCCAGCGCCCGCUUCCUCCCUGCACCCCCAGCGCCCCCACACGAAUCGGCUCAGUAAGCUGACUCAAGCUACGCAACUUUAUUUUUCGCACCAGGCCGCGCUUUGCGCCUCGGCUGGCCGCCGGCACACCCCCACCCCGCGCCGGCCCUGCUCGGACGGCGCUCCACACCGCCGCCGCCAGACGAGGCCCGCCCGCUCCCGCGUCGGCCCGGGCCCGGCCUCCCUCCCCGCCUCGCGCCCCCCCGCGCCACCGAAGGACACCGACGCGGCCCCCCCGAGCCCGCAGCUUUCCCGCCCCGCUCGACACGCGCCCGGGCUCGCGGCCUGCCCCUGCCCCCGCCGCCCGGCGCUUACCGGUGAAGCGGCGGUCGCGCCGCCCCCUCUUCUGCCUCCUUCCCUCCCCCGGGCAGCGGUUGAGAAGCGGCGGCGCCGCCCCCUCCCGGCCCCGCGGCGGCGGAACGGGCGCUUCAAUCUCCCGCGGCGGCCGCGUCGCUGCCCGAUGAUGCGCCCGCUGCCAGCCCCGCGCCGGCCUCGCCCUCUCGCCUUCACCGCCUCUCAUCACUCCCCGCCGCACGCGCGCGCCCGCCCACCCCGCUCCCGCCUUCCCUCAACCCCCCCCCCCGCAGCGCCGUUGGUUUGUCCCAUCGGCCGCACCUGCGCGAGCGCCUGCGGCUCGUACCAUCGGCCGCGUAGGGGAGAGAGAAGGCGGCCGGCGAGCGAUGAGGCGCCGUGCGGGGGAGCGGCGGUCGCGCUACCGGACUCCUCCACCGGGCGGCUUCGGGGAGCCACGCCGCGCCGAGGAGAGCGGCGUCCCCCUGCGAGGGGCAUGGAGGAGUUACCAGGGAAGAAAUAUUUUUUAGCCUUAUGCUUAAACUGAACACAACAUCAGGAACUUCUGGAACCAG